AGUGAACGCUGGCGGUAGGCCUAACACAUGCAAGUCGAACGGCAGCACAGUAAGAGCUUGCUCUUACGGGUGGCGAGUGGCGGACGGGUGAGGAAUACAUCGGAAUCUACUUUUUCGUGGGGGAUAACGUAGGGAAACUGACGCUAAUACCGCAUACGACCUACGGGUGAAAGCAGGGGAUCUUCGGACCUUGCGCGAUUGAAUGAGCCGAUGCCGGAUUAGCUAGUUGGCGGGGUAAAGGCCCACCAAGGCGACGAUCCGUAGCUGGUCUGAGAGGGUGAUCGGCCACACUGGAACUGAGACACGGUCCAGACUCCUACGGGAGGCAGCAGUAGGGAAUAUUCGGCAAUGGGCGCAAGCCUGAUGCAGCCAUGCCGCGUGGGUGAAGAAGGCCUUCGGGUUGUAAAACCCUUUUGUUAGGAAAGAAAAGCAGCAGGUUAAUCCACCGCUGUUCUGACGGUACCCAAAGAAUAAGCACCGGCUAACUUCGUG
rnacentral:rRNA from 1 species